rnacentral:SRP_RNA from 1 species
CCAUACCAGCCGGGGUAGUAGCGGAGCCUUGUACCUGCAAUCCGCUUAGCAGGGGUGGUAUCCCAUUGUGAGAGCAAGUGUUGUACUCAGCGCCUUUGUUUCCUGUGUUGAGGGAUGGGUCUUGUGCAAUUUGCAGCUGUGAACCAUGUCAGGUGGGGAACCAAGCAGCAUUAAGCAGUGUCGCAGAUGUGCCACGAGGUUGCCUGUUCUGAGCAG